rnacentral:rRNA from 1 species
UGCACCUACGGGGGGCAGCAGUGGGGAAUAUUGCACAAUGGGGGGAACCCUGAUGCAGCGACGCCGCGUGGGUGAAGAAGUCAUUCGUGACGUAAAGCCCUAUCAGCAGGGAAGAAAAUGACGGUACCUGACUAAGAAGCCCCGGCUAACUACGUGCCAGCAGCCGCGGUAAUACGUAGGGGGCUAGCGUUAUCCGGAAUUACUGGGCGUAAAGGGUGCGUAGGUGGUUUCUUAAGUCAGAGGUGAAA